rnacentral:rRNA from 1 species
AACGAACGCUGGCGGCAUGCCUAACACAUGCAAGUCGAACGAGACCUUCGGGUCUUGUGGCGCACGGGUGCGUAACGCGUGGGAACCUGCCCUUAGGUUCGGAAUAACUCCCCGAAAGGGGUGCUAAUACCGGAUAAUGUCUUCGGACCAAAGAUUUAUCGCCUUUGGAUGGGCCCGCGUUGGAUUAGCUAGUUGGUAGGGUAAAAGCCUACCAAGGCGACGAUCCAUAGCUGGUCUGAGAGGAUGAUCAGCCACACUGGGACUGGGACACGGCCCAGAAUCCUACGGGAGGCAGCAGUGGGGAAUAUUGCAAAGUGGGCGGAAGCCUGAUCCAGCAAUGCCGCGUGAGUGAUGAAGGCCUUAGGGUUGUAAAGCUCUUUUACCCGGGAUGAUAAUGACAGUACCGGGAGAAUAAGCCCCGGCUAACUCCGUG